ensembl:lncRNA
GUGCUAAAAUCCUUUAUUCACAUCAGGCAGAGCAGCAAACUGGAGCCCACCCCUCGACACAAGUUUUGAUAUAAAAUUAUUUUUUAUUACCCCAACAUUUGAGAAGACUCCAGCUGUCAGAAGGUCAACCAUGAGUGCUUUGUGGUGAUUCCAUUUUCCAUAUUCCAUUUUCCACAUCUCACAGGAAGGCAGGACAAUCAUUUAUUUGCUAAGUGCCCAUCACACACACACCCCUAGAUCUGUACAAACACCAGCGGCUCUGUUUCUUUCCUGAGCCCCUCUCUCAGCAUUCCCACACACCUGAGAUUCUCCCACUGGCACUUGUGCCAUCAAACCUUUCCUUCCAAAAACACACCUGGUCCCCAGGGAUGUGCCAAAGGCUCUCCUGGAGGUGGCCUCUUCUGAUGAGAAGUGAGAGCAGGUCCCUCACUACUCAUAAUUACAAAAAUAAAAUAAUUCCAUGAGGUGGUUCCUAAAUGGGGCAGAAUGAGCCCAAAUGUCUGGACAAACAGAGUCAAGUCUCACCCUCCAUGUGAGAUGCUCCUAUGGGUAUUUAUUCCUAAACAUCUCAAAGUGAUGUUGGGAGAGGCCGCAGCCAGCCAGGCUGAUCCCAAGGACAUCCUUGGAAUUCCAUGGACAGCUGGAGUUUAUUUUGGUGAAAAGAAAGCUCAGGGAAAAACUCAGCCUGACAGGAGGUUGUAGCCAGGUAGGGAUCAGACUUUUUUUCCCCAGGGAACUAGUGACAGGACAAGGGGAAAUGGCCUCAAGUUACACCAGGGAAAGUGCAGGUGGAUAUUAGGAAAAAAAUUGUUACUGAGUGGCUCAGCAUUGAAAUGGUGGAGUCACCAUUCCUGGAAGAGUUCAAAAAACAGUAUGUGUGGCAUUUAAACUCAAUAUUUUUUAGUGGAUGUGAUGAUAUUUGGUCAAUGGUUGGACAUGACGAUCUUGGAGAUCUUUUCCAACUUGAGGAUUCUAUAGGAUCACCUGGAAUGGCCUUACAGCAGCUUCGCCACAGACAAACCAGCUUCCCAAAGAGAGAUACACAGAUAUUAAAUCACAGGAAGCAAAAAGGAUUUGCUCAGGAUAACUUUGUGCACUGAUGGGGAUGGUGGGAGUGAUCCAACGCGGCAGCACCUAAAUUAAAUGUAAAUUAAAUACAUUUCAUGUAUUAAAUGCGGUAAAUACGAUUUUUUAAAUAUGAUUUUUUUCAAAUGUUCCAGAACACAAGUCAGGGAAUAAAUGAAUCCCCUUUAUUUUCCCUAAACUCUUACCUCGGGGUGAAUUCUGAAGCGCACCCUGAGCAGAAAUUCUCGACGUUUGUUCUGGAUGAGCGAGGGGCAGUAAAACACCUGACGAGAGCCGCAAGAAAUCCAAAACUGUAAAGAUUUACUGCGCUCACAGUUACAGCCCCACAGCCCUGUGAAAAGCCCCAGUAAAAUAUACGAGUUAGUUCUGCUGAGCAGAGCUGCAGGCUUUAAAUCUGCACAGGUGCUGCCUUCCAAACACGUAAAUAAAACCUCAAAUGGCUCCCUCAGAACGCACCAGGGCUCACUGUGACACGGGGCCUGUCCUGUAGCUGUUCGUUUUUGUAACGUGGAAAAAGUCACUUUUUAUUUGCAUUCCCUCAGUGUUGAUGAAGAUUUCAGCUGUUGAUGAAGAUUUUCAGUUCAAUCUCAGCUGGCUAAUGGUUUCCUUUGCACCAAGAUGGGAGUCCAAAGGCAAUGGUGGGAUAUAUGAUAUAAUUAUUUUCCCUAAUGGAAAAAAACAUUCCUUUCAAUGGCAGUCCUAAAUUAUUGAUGCCUUAAAGGCAAAUGCUUUUGUAUAUUAAGUAUUUGAAAACUGGGUGAGUAGUAGAGUAAGUCUUGAGUAGGGAGGGCAAGAAAAACCUGUGUUAAGUCCAUUACUGAAUGCAGCACUGAACGACUUGCAAGAAUUUAUCCUACUCUAUAUUUAUUUCUUUUUCAUGCAUGCCCUGCUAUUUUUAUGGAUUGAAUAUAUUUGUUUUUUCCUUAAUUAAUAUUCUUUUAGCUCUUUAAUUUCAUGAUACCCAAUAGAACUCUAUGAAAAACACAAGAAGUUUUACCAAAAAUCAAAAAAUUGAUAAUUUUAAUCACCUUGAGGUGAAAGUAUUUCUAUAAUUGGACCUAACUCUGUAAGGUAAGAGGUCACUGUAAAUUCUUUUAAAAUAUGCUUAUUAAUUAUCAAUUAUUUCCCAAUAGUCUUGCUUGGGUUUAAUAUCACUAUUAUUGUUAUUAUUAUUAACUCAUUUGGCCCUUGGACAAAAUUGUGAUCGUUUCAAAGCACAUAAGAGAUAGAAAAUGUCUCUGUAGCUUUAUGGCAAUACAAAAGUAAGUAAUUUGAUCUAUUCCUCUAAAAAAAUCUUGCUGCUCUCAAAGACUUUAAAAAUCUAUUUUACUUUCAGUCAACGGUGAACUUUGGCGUGACACAUGUGAGUUUGCACUUAAUCCAUUUUGUGGUGACCUGCUCCUUUAUUGCUCUCUGCUCCAGCGUGGGAGAAAGAUGGUUAAACACCAUCAGGAGCUGAUGGAAACGCCUCCAAUGAAAUUUCAUUUUUCAGAGCAAGGCAGGGCAGCUCCGAGAGCCAAAAUUGUCUCUUGUCAAAGGAGAGAGAGAUGCUCUUUGGAGGCACUGACUGCAGGCAGAAAGAGGCACAAGGAACUUAGGCAAGGGUUUAACUUUAAAAAAGAAAUAAUCUGAAUCUCUUGCUUUCACUUGGAUGAUGAUUUAAGUUUGCAGUUGUGUGGCGGCCAAUUUUAAUGUUUGUAUUAGGAUCCAGAAUGAGAGUUUUCCAUUAAAAACCUUCAGCUUCGGAGCAGCUCCUCCUUAAGUUGCCACUGUCUACUCAGUCUGUUUUGUGGGGUUUGAUGGUUAUUUUUUUAACUCAUCAAAAAAUAAAAUAAAUGCACUGAAAAAUGCUGUUUAAAAUAUUUUAGAAAUAAGCUUAUAGAUAAAAAGCAUUUUUGAGAGUUUCCAGACAUAUGAAAGGAGUGGAAGAUUUCAAAACCUUCUUAUUAUGAAGAGUAUUUUAUGCAAAUGCUGUCAAAGAUACAUCUAUGCAAAGGAAUUUUUACUGGUAAAGUAAAAAUACAAUUUAGAGAUUUAUGCUGCAGUUGCAGUGCUCAAUCUUGGGUUUUCCAAAGGCAGCAAGAUGGAUUCUGAAAUCCUUAUAAAGCCUCUGCAAAACAUCAUGUGCCUGCCACAAAUUCCUGCUUAGAACAAUUUAAGUUGCAAAUAAGGAACCAGUCCAGAAAUUCUGCAUGUUUGGCUUGCUUUAAAUGACUUGUCCUUGUUGUUAUGGUAAUUCUAUGAAAAAGAUUCUCAGAAAUCAAUUUGUUGUUUGUGUAUAAUUCCCCAAACUGAGCAAGAACCUGCUGGGUGCUGGGUGGAUGAAGGAGCUGCCACUGGCAAAGGUGUUGAGCUCAAUUUAAGCCUAUCAAAUGUGGCAGCAUUUAAAAUUCAAUAAUCUUGAAUUUUGAAUUCAAGGUCAGGAGGGAGUGAGGAUGCUGAAGGCAUAGCUUGGAUCAUCCCAAAGGUUAUCACCCAGCAUUUCUCUCAGAAAAUGAGAUGUACAAAUCCCAGGAAGGGCAGGGCUAGUGGAGUUUCUUGGUGUGGGAAACGGAUUUGCAGAGAGUUUUUAGGGUUUGACAGAAGGUUUACAUAGUAUGUAUUUGUAUGUAAAUGUUGAGAUAAGAAAUGUUGACUUAGAAAUGUUAUAGAAUGGGAUAGAUAUUGUUGAGAGAGAAAUGGAGUUAGAAAAAAGUUUUAAAGGAUGGUUUUGUAAAUAAGACUGGAAACUGGAGAAAUAGAACUAUGAAAGAUGUAUUUUCAUAGGACACACAAGGAGUAAUUUUAGAUGAUUGGUUUUAAGGUAUUUACAGUAUAUUGUGGUAAAAAAGCUGAUAAGCUGAGAGAUGUUUAUAGUGUUUUUUAAUUAAGAAAUAGCUGGCUUUUGAUUGUGAUAGUGCGAAUUAUAGCAUUUGUAUUGUCUCACUCUUUUCAUAAAAGUGAAAAUAGAAUAAAAGAUUUUAAAACAUGUCUUAGUUGCCUCAUGUUGAGGCUAGAAAAAGAUAUAAUCCAGGUAUAACAAACCAGUAUCAACAUAUCAGCAAUAAACAACCAAUAGCUUCACUGGUAAAGCUGUUAAAUUACAAAAAUCAGACAAAACUUGGAGCCAGGUAAGAAGCAGCACAAUAACACAAAUGGGAGGAGCGAAAGUUGGAUUUACCAAGACAAAAACUGUGCUGAAGGAAAAGUGGCAAGAAUAUUUCUACUUGUUAGAGGUAUAAUUGUGCAGAACACAGGCAAAGGCACCGUGGAAAAGCAAUAACAGGCAUUGGAAGAGUGGGACUGAUUGUACAUGAAGAAGUCAGGGCAGGUGCUGCACUCUGCGUGCCCAUUAAAACCCCGAAAGCACAGGAUUUACCUCAGAAACUGGCAGAGGGAAUAGACUUUUCCAAAGUGUGCUUGUCCAAAGUCUGGCAGCGCCGUAGGAAUCCAGAUUUUAAAAACACGCUAAUUCUGACUGAACUCACACGUUGGUGCCUAUUGAAGUAGGCAAGAUUACCCUGGGGGGAGCCAGUUACCUGAAGGAUUUCAAAGACGAAUGGAUUGAAACCUGCAGAGAAUAAAUAGUAUUUUCUGGUUUUUGGAUGACAUACUAAUACCUGGGAGGAAUUCAGACGAGUAUUUACAAAACCUUGAGGAAAUUCCAACAUGUUAUAAAGUUAUGCUUUAAAGUGAACAAAAAUAAGAUUGUAAGCAUGAGAUUUUUUUUCCAGCUCCCUAAAACCAAGUUCCUUGCCUAAGUUUCAGGAAUAAAGGCUUUAAAAAGGAAAAUAAAAACUAUUGAGCAUGCAUUAGUGCCUCAAUAUUACCCAGCUUCUGUUGUUUUUAUCCAUGUGAAAGGUUUCUUAUGGAAGUUCCAAAUUAUCAUUGCUAAUUAGGUUGCUGUUUUCCUGAUAAAGGAAACAUAAAAUAGAUGUGGAUGGAGCAUUAAAAUAGGAAUCUUUUUUUGAGGAAGAAAAACAAAAAACCCAAGAGCUCUAUAGCACCCUAUAAUUUGAGGUCAUUCAGGAGAACCUUAAACCACAAUUUCCUGAAGGAAAAUGAGCUGUUCCUUCAAGACUCCAGCAUGCGAAAAAUUCCCAGUUAUUUGCCUUUCAGAUCAUUAUCAAAAUCUGAAAAGACAUCUACAUUUUUAAAAGAAAACUUGCUCUCCCAUUUAGAAAUUAAUAAAUUCUAGGAACAUCUCUUAAAACAUAUCUUGAUGCAGGUAGAAAACCAGAGGUAAAAAAGAGGGGUGACUAAUUUACGUUUUUUGGGGGGGCAAGCAGUUUGGGGGAUCAAUCUUUUAUUGUUUUUAAUAUUGCAAAAUUCCCUGUAGACCGUGAAACAAGUGUCCUUCACAUCCCUCCUUCCAGUCACCAACAAAUUCAGCUGGAGACAGAGAAGAAAAGGUUAUUUUCCAAGGAAAGGCCUGGAUUUCUGUGUGUUUUUUAAACAGCCUCAUCACAGGAGAUAUUUAAGCUCCAGUGCUUCACUGAGCAGCAUUAUCUGGGCAGGAGAUGCUGCUUUCCAGGAGGACCAGCUCCAAGGAGCUUGGGAACCUUUUUACCAUCAGAAUUGCCUCAGUAGCAUCAUGGAGAAAUAAAGAAGAACCAAAAGAAGCUGCUCUUGGUGCAAAUUUUGAUCAGGGCCCUGAGCCCUCUGGAGCCCGCAGGAACAAGGGCAGGGCGUGUUUCUCCCACUCUGUUGGGACUGUACCUCUUGUGUGUGGCCACCUGGACUUGCAGCAGUGUUUUUAUGGAGGAUUUCUCUGCAAAUCUCUUGCAAGGCUUUCCUGGGGGACACAGUGACCCCAGGAGCACUCAGUGUGAUUCUGCUUUGCCCCAUCCAAGUGAGAGUCCCUUUGGUUAUGUCCAUUCUCUUCCCAGACCCAAGAGAAAUGGAGUCCUGCAUAUUUGAGAACAAACUCCUGUCUUGUGCUCAGUAACAGGGAGGAAAAGAAAACAUUAUUGUCCUCAGUUAAUUGCUUCUUUGUGACAGGCACACUUCAAAGGCAAUUUAGUCUCAAGUGCAUCUUAGCAGAGAAAAACCCAUAUUACCGAUUUUAACCCCCACUAUUUCCAGCCACGAAGAUGAAUGAAUUCCACCUAAUAGAAUCUCCACAUGGUGGAAUGUGAAAUUAGUUUGGGGUUUGGUUGGGGUUGGGUUUUUUGGUCUGUUUUGUUUUUUAAAGUCCUGUUUUA